UUUUGGAAUCCCGGUGCAUGACGUCAGUACGCCCAUAAGGCUGCCUGUAAAACAAGGGGAAAAGUCAGUUCCUGAAAUAAAAAGCUGCGGAGGCCGUAAUCCUGCGUCUUUCACUGUGGAUAACCUGCCAUUCUUUCUGCACAUCAAUAAUAAACGUUAACAGCGAUAAUUACGGCUAACAUCAUUCUCAGAUUUUCCUGCGUGGUCGGAAACGCGCGGUAGAUCGGGGUCUGCCACUGCAGCUUCGGAGAACCACGGUUGUAUGACUUUCACUUAAAUUUUUAAUUUCCGGUUGAAUUUAGCCUUAUCGCGUGGCAAAAUGGAAAUACAAAUUAACAAAUUUUAACCUGUAAAUUCGAGGGAUAAAAACGUCUACAAGCAAAUUCACGUUUGCAAUAGGAACCUAAUAAAACUUACCACAAUUCGUUCCAUGUACUUGAGCUGUACGUAUGAUCGCUAGAGCUAUUUAUGUAAAAUCCAAUUUGUUACAUAUUUAGACCGGAUAAUACCAAACGUGUAUAUUUGAUAAAUUAUCAUGGCGAAAUUAAGUAAAACAUCAAUGAACAACUAACUGUGAAAUUAACAUUUUUGCAUUUUUAAAGCUUUUUUUUCUAUUACAGGUACAUAGACAUUCUUUAGUUUAUGCAUACUCGGCUGCUCUCCGCUGAAGACAAAGAGCAACUUUUUCUGGGGUCAAAGGCUCAUCCACUUCCCCUAGGCAGCAGUUUUAUGGGCUGCCAGGCCAAGCUGGUGCCCCAGAGUUCCCAGAGAGCCGUGACUAUUGAUGGCCAAUCGCCUGCAACCUAUGCAUGGCACUCUGUUUACACUGGAUAACAGGCACCAACCAGCAUCUGCUGUGCAUUCCCCUUCUGCACACGGUCACAGCAACAACACGACGUUCAGAGGAAAGAUCACAGGGUCACCACAACACAGAGGGCAACCAAAAGCACGCUUGGCAUCCAGUGAACCCUCUGUAGUGAAAUAUCUGUUUGAAAAAGUACAGUAAUCGCAAAGGUGGGGGUGGGGGUAGUCAUGGGGAAGUACAGUUCGUGGGUAUUACAAACUCAAGUAGCAUUUCGGUUCUUUUUUGACCUGAAUGACAAUAGACUCCGCCCUUUUAUGUGUAAACAAUGAUCUUGCAGAACAGGUGUUACCUGGAAAACCUUCUAAUCUGGAGAGUGUAAAAUAAUUAUGACCCUAAAACCAAACAUCGCCUACUGCCUCUUCUGCCAAGAUUAACACUUCUGUGUAAUUUGGACAUUUUUAACUGUAAUCCCACCCUGUGUCUAAAAAUAUGUUGAUCAUUUUCCCAACUGAAACCUAAUUGUAAAAGCAUCCUAUAAGACGAAUAAACAGUAACCUAUGAGGUAA